rnacentral:rRNA from 1 species
UACGGAGGGUGCAAGCAUUAAUCGGAAUUAUUGGGCGUAAAGGGCGCGUAGGCGGAUUUGUAAGUCAGAUGUGAAACCCCCAGGCUUAACUUGGGGACUGCAUUUGAAACUGGGUGUCUUGAGUGCAGGAGAGGUAAGUGGAAUUCCUAGUGUAGCGGUGAAAUGCGUAGAGAUUAGGAAGAACAUCAGUGGCGAAGGCGGCUUACUGGACUGUAACUGACGCUGAGGCAUGAAAGCGUGGGUAGCAAAC